GAUGAACGCUGGCGGCGUGCUUAACACAUGCAAGUCGAACGGGAAUUCUUUUAUUGAAACUUCGGUCGAUUUCAUUUAAUUCUAGUGGCGGACGGGUGAGUAACGCGUGGGUAACCUGCCUUAUACAGGGGGAUAACAGUCAGAAAUGGCUGCUAAUACCGCAUAAGCGCACAGAGCUGCAUGGCUCAGUGUGAAAAACUCCGGUGGUAUAAGAUGGACCCGCGUUGGAUUAGCUGGUUGGUGGGGUAACGGCCCACCAAGGCGACGAUCCAUAGCCGGCCUGAGAGGGUGAACGGCCACAUUGGGACUGAGACACGGCCCAGACUCCUACGGGAGGCAGCAGUGGGGAAUAUUGCACAAUGGGGGAAACCCUGAUGCAGCGACGCCGCGUGAAGGAAGAAGUAUCUCGGUAUGUAAACUUCUAUCAGCAGGGAAGAUAGUGACGGUACCUGACUAAGAAGCCCCGGCUAACUACGUG
rnacentral:rRNA from 1 species